AGAGAUCAUAAAGAAGCAGGGUGAAGGAGUCCCAGACUUAGUCCACGUGAUGCGUACGUUAGCAACUGAGAGCAUCCCAAACCUCCCGCCAGGGGGUGAAUUGGCAAGCAAACGGAGUGUGAUUGAAGCCGUUUAUAACAGACUGAACCCCUACAGGAAUGAUGAUACUGAUUCUGCCUCAACUGAUGAUAUGUGGUAAAACUGCUCAUCUAGCUGUGGAGUUCACGUUUCAUCCUUCAAAUGAAAGUGCAGCCCAGCCUCAGUGACCCUUCUUAACAUCCAUCCUCAACCAUAAUUAAAGAAGGGAAUAUGAUGUGUCGGUGAGAGCGACUACAGCAGUACGACAUCUAGCCCAGGAACUGAUCUUUUUUGUAAAACAGACUUCUGUAAACGUGAUUUCAAACCAUAAUUCAUGUUGUAAAUCAGACUCCAGCAAUUUAUGUUGUAUGAUUUUGUUUUUGUAAAGUGCAAUUGUCUUUGUACAAAAUGCUCAUAUUUAAUUAUGAACUGCUUUAAAUCACUAUAAAGGUUAGAAGAAAUGUUUGGCUUGUGUGAUGCAACAAUAUAUAUCCCUUUGAAUUCAUGUUGUGGUUUUGGAUUGCAAGGAGCAGCAGCCUAGCCAGCUAGGUGCUCAAGAGGUGCACAAAACUGUAAAGAUAACCUUUUGUUUAAUAUGAAAGAUGAACUUGUGGGCAACUUACCAGAAAUUACAGUGUGUGAAUUUGCUUGGCAAUGGAAAAAUAAGUAAAAGUAGUGCACAUUCUUCAACAAACAUGUAUUGUUUUCUUGGAUGCACUCCUGCUCUCACAUUGAGUUAAAGAGAGUUCUGAUUUUGACUUCAGUGGGAGUUAAAUCAUGCCCUAUUAAUAGUGUCAUGUUCAUACGCGUACGAACCUUGGCAUUAGAAUGCCUUGAUUCUUUGCACCUCUUUUUUCAUUAACCCUUACCUGAAACUACUAAUCACUGAGCAUGAACAGGCAGCUUUC